CAAGUCGAACGGUAACAGGAAGUGCUUGCACUUCGCUGACGAGUGGCGGACGGGUGAGUAAUGCUUGGGAACUUGCCUUUGCGAGGGGGAUAACAGUUGGAAACGACUGCUAAUACCGCAUAAUGUCUUCGGACCAAACGGGGCUUAGGCUCCGGCGCAAAGAGAGGCCCAAGUGAGAUUAGCUAGUUGGUAAGGUAACGGCUUACCAAGGCGACGAUCUCUAGCUGUUCUGAGAGGAAGAUCAGCCACACUGGGACUGAGACACGGCCCAGACUCCUACGGGAGGUAGCAGUGGGGAAUAUUGCACAAUGGGGGAAACCCUGAUGCAGCCAUGCCGCGUGUGUGAAGAAGGCCUUCGGGUUGUAAAGCACUUUCAGUUGUGAGGAAAAGUUAGUAGGUAAUACCUGCUAGCCGUGACGUUAACAACAGAGGAAGCACCGGCUAACUCCGUGCCAGUCAGCCGCGGUAAUACGGAGGGUGCGAGCGUUAAUCGUAAUUACUGGGC
rnacentral:rRNA from 1 species